GAGUAAACGACGGCUACUGGACUAUGUGCCCGGAAGAGAAGAUGUUGCGGUCCUGGCACCUAAUGCUGCUUCUGGCUAUCUUCGUGCCGUCGGCCAUGGGAACCAUCAGCAAGGAGCCCUCCGACCAAAACUGGCCGUGCACCAAAAAAGGUUUAAUAUGUGAUUUGCAUGAAGAUUGCUGCAGUAAACGCUGCACGGUUAAGUACAAGAUCGAUCCUUCGUAUGUGACCCGUUGCGAGUGAAGGACAAAGAAAUCGUUCACCCGCUUUCAACGAGAUUGCUAAUAAAGUCUUCCAACAUUGA